CCAAAACCAAAAUCAAAUGAAACAACCAUCUCCUACCUUUAACAUUCACGAGAGGAACAUCCCACUUUCCAUUACCAAACUCUGAAGCUAAACCCACUAACAUAGCAAUUCAAAACCCCAUCCCUGACUCCCUCCUGUCGGCAAGCGCUGCUGCCUACUCACACCUCUUGUCGUUGCUACGUACUUCCAGACCUCCACAGCCAACCACCAGUAACAGUUUGAGCCCUAAACAAAGUGAUAAGGUCAGUACAUUAACAGUUUUGAAUUAGUGAUAUUUAUUUUCAUUGGUGACUUCGGUCCAUUAAUUGUGAUUUGAGCCUUUGUGAACAGUGAAUAUGAUUUGAUGAAUCUUAGCAUUUUUUAUUUUUGAAUGGUUGAACAUAUCUGCUUCUGCAAUCUGUUGGUCGUUUGUCAAUCUCUUAUAUCAAUUUAUGAUUUGUGAAUUGUGUUGGUGAUAUGUGAGAUUUAGUUUGGGAACUUCAUCAAAAAUUCAAAAUAAAGGUGGCAUUAUUGGGCAAAUGUGAAAACUUUAUGCUUAAACCUUUAGGCAAUGGUGAGAUUUAUUUUGUGAUCAUUGAUAGAAGGAUUAAUUUUUUACUUAUUGUUUGUGUUAGUUAUGAAAAGUACUUUAAACGAAAAUUUGCAUUUUUCUUGUGAUGAACAAAACGUCAAUGAAAGGAAUGUUCGAAAUAUGAAAGUACACAUUGGUAGACUCUGCUUUUUGUUUUAUUUUUUGUUUGUGCUAACAAAUUAAUCGGCUGAUUCUUGAUUCUUGGAAUUUCUAUGAACUAGAAUCAUUAAAAUUUAACAAAAAAUUGAACCCAUCGUUUCAAUUUUGUUCACUUGAUUUUGAUUUUUUUGUCCAGCACAAGUUUUAGCAUUCAUGCUUUUAUAUAAAUUUGUUCAUGUUACUGGAUUUUUUUGAUGUGUUUGAUAGAGAUUAAACUAAUCCCUCCCUUCAUUAUUAUUCUUCAUGUUCUUUUUGAUGUUAAUUUUCUUGCCCUGAUUAAAUAAUGCAUGAUUUCUCUUCUUUAUUUGGACACAUCUCCGAUUAAAUCGUCAUAAUAUGUUAAUGUUAUAUUGUCAACUACAUCUUACCUAAAUUUGAUGACGAGAUUAUUCAAAUUAACUAUUGGAGGGUGCAAUGAUUGAUGAUUUUGUUUGGUAGGAUAGGAACAACAGCAUGAUUUAUUUUUAAGAGAAAGCUAAUGAGUAAUCAUUUUGAUUGCAAAAUUUACGCAUUUACAAACUCUUUCAGUACUAUUUUUCCCUUAUAUCAUUGAUUCAUUUUCGUGUUUUAGAAGGUGAACGAGGAAUUCUUAAUUCAACAAUUUUACAAUAUUGUGUUGUAAAUGCUCAAGACAAAUGGCAUGAAAUAAUAUUUACGAACUCUUUAAUACCUUUUACUCCUUUAUCAUUUUGAUGGUUUAGAGGUCAAAAGUAGAAUUCUUGACAAAUCAUUUCAGUAAACAAAUGGCAUUGCAGUAAACUAUUGUUCCCGACAGUUAAUUACAGUAAUUCUCGACAAAAGAGUGAAUACCUAUCUGUAAGUUGAGUCAUCUGUCGAGAUUAACUAUCAUUGUCGGUAGAUGGUCUGUUGAGACCAACAAUUACAGUCAGUUUUUCUCUACACAUAAUAGUUUCUCAAAAGAUCACUUUGGCAGUCAUUAGUCCACGUCUAACUUUGGUUCAUCCGAACAUUACACAUGUGUUUGGUAUUAACAUGUAUGAAAUAUUAUGAUUUGACCUUCUUUAUUUGUUGUUAUACUUUGGUCCACAUGUUCAGGCAGCAAGCCCGAAGUGCCAUGCCUGGACAACGACAAAAUACUUUUGACAUGUAGUGUGAGAGACGUGGAUGGUAAGUUUUGUAUUGGAAAAAUUAUACUACGUCCAAAAUCCAACUAUAUACUAUAAGUAUGUUGAGUGCAAGCUACUGUUUAGUUCUGAUCCUAAUUCAAUUGCAGUUGGUAAAACAAUGUUGGAUAACGCCGUAGACACUAGUACGCUUUUGACGUCUACUGACAUAGUCCUACCUGAAGUUAAGUUCAUGUCGUCCAAUUCAUAAUACUGAUUUUAGGUAUCCGAGUGGAUAAUUCAAUAUCCGUAGGCUAUGUUAUGUUAUUAUUUGGCAUUUUGGAAAAGUAAUUCGGCCUAUACUACUUUUACGUAGGCGAUGUCACUAAAUUGUCCAUGGCGACCACCAUACUAGUCGAAGGCAACGAUGUUGUUAACACAAAGAGGCGACGAUUGA
rnacentral:lncRNA from 1 species